rnacentral:lncRNA from 1 species
GAUGAGUAUUAAUACCCCAAUGACAUACCUCAUUUACACUCUACUAAACAUCAGUGGUUCUUUUGAAAAUUAUUUGAUGAAAUUUGAGAUUUUAAGUUAAACGAUACUUGAUUCUAAAUUAUUUCUUUACUCGAGAAUGAGCAAAGUUCAAGUUGGGGGGUGUGAUAAGUGAUAUAUUUUUAUAUUUAUUGUAGAUAUUUUUGAUAAUUUAUGGUGC